rnacentral:misc_RNA from 1 species
ACAAAUGGAUCUUCGGAUCAACCAGGCCUCACCCUUCUCGGGCGGCUCGGGUUAACCCUUUGUGAACCAAAAAAACCUUUUUCGCUUCGGCAGCUGGGUCCUAAACCAACCCGUCAGCCUGCCGCUAGCACAAACUUCAAAAACUUGUUGUCAAAAACAUUGUCUGAUAACCAAAAUUUUCGAAUGAAAAUCA